rnacentral:rRNA from 1 species
GAUGAACGCUGGCGGCGUGCCUAAUACAUGCAAGUCGAGCGAAUGGAUUAAGAGCUUGCUCUUAUGAAGUUAGCGGCGGACGGGUGAGUAACACGUGGGUAACCUGCCCAUAAGACUGGGAUAACUCCGGGAAACCGGGGCUAAUACCGGAUAACAUUUUGAACCGCAUGGUUCGAAAUUGAAAGGCGGCUUCGGCUGUCACUUAUGGAUGGACCCGCGUCGCAUUAGCUAGUUGGGGAGGUAACGGCUCACCAAGGCAACGAUGCGUAGCCGACCUGAGAAGGUGAUCGGCCACACUGGGACUGAGACACGGCCCAGACUCCUACGGGAGGCAGCAGUAGGGAAUCUUCCGCAAUGGACGAAAGUCUGACGGAGCAACGCCGCGUGAGUGAUGAAGGCUUUCGGGUCGUAAAACUCUGUUGUUAGGGAAGAACAAGUGCUAGUUGAAUAAGCUGGCACCUUGACGGUACCUGACCAGAAAGCCACGGCUAACUACGUGCCAGCCGCCGCCGUAA